ensembl:misc_RNA Metazoa_SRP Metazoan signal recognition particle RNA
GCUGGGCAUGGUGGUGCAUGCCUGUAGUCCCAGCUACAUGGGAGGCUGAGGCAGGAGAAUCGCUUGAACCCUGGAGGAGGUGGAGGUUGCAGUGAGCCAAGAUUGCGCCACUGCACUCCAGCUUGGGUGACAGAGUGAGACUCUGUCUCAA